AUACAGAAACUUGGCUGCUCACCAAAGCCAAUCAGAUGCUGAUGUUACGGGCCUUUUGUUUUCAAACUGAAUAUAAGGGAUAUAUCAAGACCUCAGUAUCACAAAAUCCUCCUCAACAAUCCUGAUCACGCUCAACAGUCUUAAACAAAGGUAAGGUAAUAUUAAUUCAACAAAUGCUCAUCAGCACCUUUGCUGUUUGGGGUUGAAGGUCUAGUUCUAGAUCUAGAUCUAGUUUCCUGUUGUAGUUGGUUAAAUUUAACUAUUUCUUUCAUAAAAUGUAUAUUUCACAUUUCAUUUCAGACGUUAUCAUUCAACAUGAGAGCCCUUAUUUUGCUGGCAUUAGUCAUUGGAGUGGCCUACUGCGCUCCGCAAUUGAUGUAUUAUGAGCUAGAGUACAAACCUGUCCUGGCUUCACAGGUUAGUUUGGUCCAAACAUUAAAUAAAUACACAUUUAUUAUUUAAAAAGACUUAAUUAAAAUGAUUCAUAGCAUAUGAGAAUAUAUAUAGUUCAUGUAUAGUAUUAUAUAUGUCAUAUAUGAUAAUACUGCAGUUUGGAUUAUAUAAAAAGUGUGUAUGAUGAUCUACAGGCUCUUCCUGCGGCUGCUGCUGCAGCUAGACCUUCUGAAGUUGAGAUUGUAAGUAUGGAUAUGUGAAAUAGAUUAAUUUUUACCAUCACUCAAUAAUAUAUUACUCAGACAUAUAAUAAAUAUUAUAAUAUCNCCUGUGAGUUUCAGUUGGUUUUUAUUUCCUUUCACAGAAUAUUCAUUAUUUCCUGCUAUUUUGGCACGCAGACAGUGCUCAUUUUGUCUUAUUCUCCACAGGGUCAACCUGUCCACGGCUUCAUUAAGCAUGAGAUUCCCCAGCCCGCAGGCAAAGAAAGUGUUGAAGUUCUGUACCCAUUCAGCUUUCCUCAACCUGCUCCAGCUGCUCCAGCUGUUCCAGCUGUUCCUGCUGUUCCUGCUGCCCCUGCUGCCCCAGUACAGUCAAAAUUUAAAUUUGUGAUAUAUAUUAUAAUUUCACAUAUAUAUGUGGCUAUUUGUAAUUUUGUAUUUUUUAGGCCCCUGUUCCAAAGGACGAUGAUGAUGAUGAUCAUGACGACUAAACCAGAUUGGUUGGUUAAGUAUAAUUAUAACUGAUUUAUCAAUUAUAAUGCUGUAAUGUAAUGUAAAGUUGAACAGUUUUUGCAAUGGAAGAUGCAACAUUGUACACUGGUCACUCACACAUAAAUAAAAGAAAGUUUAUUAGGUUUUACA
ensembl:lncRNA